UCACCGUUUACACGGGCACUAGGUGUGGGGGACAUUCCACGUUUUCCGCGCCGUAGCUAACGCAUUAAGUGCCCCGCCUGGGGAGUACGGCCGCAAGGCUAAAACUCAAAGGAAUUGACGGGGGCCCGCACAAGCGGCGGAGCAUGCGGAUUAAUUCGAUGCAACGCGAAGAACCUUACCAAGGCUUGACAUGGGCCGGAUCGCCGCAGAAAUGUGGUUUCCCCUUUGGGGCCGGUUCACAGGUGGUGCAUGGUUGUCGUCAGCUCGUGUCGUGAGAUGUUGGGUUAAGUCCCGCAACGAGCGCAACCCUCGUUCCAUGUUGCCAGCGCGUAAUGGCGGGGACUCAUGGGAGACUGCCGGGGUCAACUCGGAGGAAGGUGGGGAUGACGUCAAGGUACGG
rnacentral:misc_RNA from 1 species